rnacentral:sRNA from 1 species
UUUCCACUAGAUUUUCAACAAUGAUUCCUAAAGUCCUUUGCCUUGUUGCUCUUGUGACACUAGCUGUUAUCUAUAGCACUGAAGCUGCUCCUGGACCUCAAAAAGAACCUGGUCGAGGACCACCUCCAUCUGGCGAACCCCCAACUGGUUCUCACA